AACGAACGCUGGCGGCAGGCUUAACACAUGCAAGUCGAGCGCAUCCUUCGGUGUGAGCGGCAGACGGGUGAGUAACGCGUGGGAACGUACCCUUUCCUACGGAAUAGCUCCGGGAAACCGGAAUUAAUACCGCAUACGCCCCUAGGGGGAAGUAUAUAUAGGGGAAGGAUAGGCCCGCGUUGGAUUAGCUAGUUGGUGGGGUAAAGGCCUACCAAGGCGACGAUCCAUAGCUGGUCUGAGAGGAUGAUCAGACACAUUGGGACUGAGACACGGCCCAAACUCCUACGGGAGGCAGCAGUGGGGAAUAUUAGACAAUGGGCGCAAGCCUGAUCCAGCCAUGCCGCGUGAGUGAUGAAGGCCUUAGGGUUGUAAAGCUCUUUCAGUAGGGAAGAUAAUGACGGUACCUACAGAAGAAGCCCCGGCUAACUUCGUGCCAGCCGCCGCGGUAA
rnacentral:rRNA from 1 species